AUUUUACCAAACUAUACAUCCGGCCGCGCGCUUUCUACCCUAAGAACUUGAGAAAAUCAAAUCCUAAAUCCUUCCUUGCGUUAAUUUCUCCUCAUCUCCAUCUCUUGUUCACGCGGUUGACCAAGGGAUUCUGUGAAUUUCUCUGCAUAUCGUUGCUUAUUUCUCCUCAGCUCUAUCUCUCUUUCAGUUUGGAGGAUUUUGUGAAUUUCUUUGCCUCUGCAUCUUUCUGUCGGUCUAGGUAAUUUUGUUUCACAAAAAUCCCCCAAAUAACAAUGAAUUCAUCCCAAAUUUUCAUCUCUCAUUGAUGAUUAUGUAUUUCUCUUUUUCUGCAGAUUUUAUUUUUUCAAUUGUGGAAGGGAAGUGUUGACGGAUAUACGGUUUGAAUCGGGAAAUUGGUGGAAAUAGUUUCUUCUUCGCAUCCUUGGGAAGGUAUUUCUUCUUUUUUUGAUUCUGCAACUCUGGGCAGUAAACUCUGUUUUAGGCUUGACGUGAGAUUGUUCUUGCGGCUUCGGGUGUGAAAAAAUAUUAUGUAAUUAUUUCACAUAGUGGAAUCAUUGGAUUGAGGGUUGUGUGAUGCAUCUAUAAGUCUGUACCCUUUUUCUUGUUCACAGUCAGUUGAAGCAGAUUAUGUUUCUACAAUAUCAGACUUUAAUUUUCAGGUUUAUAUGUUAAACUUCUGUAAUCAUAGAGAAGAGAUUUUCUUAGCAGAACUUGUGGAUGAUGUUAGACAUGGUCUCCUCAGUUCUUUGAGAACAUUAAAAUAGGCAAAACCAUUUGGAUUACAUUGUAUAAUCCGCGAUUUGAGUAUUUUCUUGAACUGCGAGAUAGAUAAUUGUCUAUAUAGUUUGCAAUCUAUCAAAUCAAUUCUAGGUAAGAGUUUAUUCUUCUUAUUGAAUGUGAUUUAGGAUAAAAAUUUUCACGCCCAAAACAAUUGGGUUAAAUCUUCCUGCACUUACAAAUGGGGUUUAUAUUUCCCAUGGCUGUUAAUGCUGUUGACCAAAGAGCAUUCUAGCAUGCAUUACUUCCCCCGAAAAAUUUCACGAUGCCAUUGUUAGACUGAGUGGAGACUAUGCUGUUAUCCAUGAAUGAAUUCUCGGAAAAUGUUUGACUUGAUGUAGUCGAACUAUUGUCCAGACCACCCUGAUGAAGUGGAAAUGGGAAGCGGAUGUUAGCGCUCGAUGUUUGAGAGUAAAGUAGGCUAUGAAAGCCCAUAGUUUUGGUAAUUAGGUUGGAAAAACUUUCAAUUUGUGCUUCUUGCUGGAAUCCAGGAAAUCCAACGUGAAUUUUUUCAUUAAUGAUUCUCCUGCCUCUAUUUCUGAGCUUGGUUUAUUCAAGGCUGCUGCUGGUUGAAUCAUUGAAAGGCAAACUCAAGUAUGAUGAAGAAACUAUUUGAUCUGAAUCCUCUGCCUUUUUUGUAGGUAAUCAUGAACUUUUCCCUUUGUUUGGCUGCUUUGUUGUAGUCGCUUCAAGAACUUGGUUGUGGUUUACGCCCUCUUCAACUACUUUUGGAAAUUCAUUUGUAUUAGAAGCCACAUUUAGAAUAGGUUCAUCUAUGAAGAGGUGAUCAAAAUUAACAUGCCUCCAUCUGUCAAUCUUCAAUUUAUUCUUAGGAUCUUUUGCAUGUUCAUCAAAAGCAUCUUUGUAACUCCCUUUUUGCUUCCUAACAUCAGAAGGUUCCACAUUAUAGAAUACAGGAUAAAUCUGUUGGCCAAAUUUCUGAUUACAUUCAACGAUUUUAGCAAUCUCUUCUAAGCACCAAGUGGAAUCGGCAUAGUUUUCUGAGAAGAUAACGAGGGCAACUUUGGAUCUUUCAAUGGCAUUUUGGAGUAGUGGGGAAAUGGAACUUCCUCUCUUGAGUUUAAUAUCGUCUUUGAAUGUGAGGAAUUGUGUUGUCUUUGGUCAUAAAUAUUAAUAAAUUUUAUUUUGUUCAUAAAUGUUAAUGAAUUUUAAAUUUCAAAAUUAAAGGUAAUUUUAAAUUUCAAUUUUCCAAUUUCCCCCAACAAUUACCAUCAUGGUUUAC
rnacentral:lncRNA from 1 species